ACCAGAUCGUCUCUCUAGAGGUUGACACCAGAUCGUCUCUCUAGAGGUUGACACCAGAUCGUCUCUCUAGAGGUUGACACCAGAUCGUCUCUAGAGGUUGACACCAGAUCGUCUCUAGAGGUUGACACCAGAUCGUCUCUAGAGGUUGACACCAGAUCGACUCUAGAGGUUGACACCAGAUCGUCUCUCUAG